GCUUCCAAUGGGUGUCUAUAGCUUCCUUAGGGUGUGGGGAGUAUUUUUUAUGAAGUGGGCUAUGGGUUUUUGUGUGUAGAAGCUUGGGAAAUCAAGCUUGGAAGCUCGUCGGACUUCGCCUGCUCCUUCCCCCUUUUUUUUAACUAUUUUAUUUAUUCGUUUAUUCGCUCUCACUUCACACCCUUUGCUCUUGCGCAUUUCUCCCUAGCUCCUUUUAUAAGUUUUUG
rnacentral:misc_RNA from 1 species